ACAGAGGUCAGGAAAUGAAACAAUGGAGAACUUCACGUAUGAAAGCUUCUCACCUCCGCUGACAGAGGAGGAACCUGACUACAGUGAAAUCUGCUUGUCCAAGAAUAAAACAGAGACUCUCUACUCCACUAUUCAGCCAUUUCAACCACAAAAGCAGGACCAUCACCCCUAUGAUGUUGUGGACUUGAGAAACAAGACUGCUCCUGAGCUCAAUGAACAGGCUCUGGACACCUAGAAACUUUACAACACAUCAACCUAAAGAAGAUAAAAUAUAACAACACAUCUGGCUGUACAGGACUUGAGUGAAUUUGUUGAGAUGUUGGCCUUUUUUUUGAUGAGUAUUUACGUGUUGUGGGUGCUCUUGACAGCAUUAA